CUCUGCCCUGCUGGCCAGCCAGCAGCCGAAACUCAGCGUGUCUUCUCAUUCCAACUCUCUCAUGAAGGGAUUAUAACUUUGAGUUUGUACAGCCUUUGGCUGACAGGACACAGGGGGAAGGCGACGCACAGAUGGAAGAUUGGAGUGAUACGUCUGGAAACCAAGGAAGAUGGCCGGCAAUCUGCCAGAAGUCAGAGAAAGGCACGGAAGGAUCCCUCCCUACAGUUUCAGAAGUUUUCUGGCUUCCAUCUUCUAGAACUGCAACAAAGAAAGUACUCCCUGUGGCAUCACAAGUCUCAUCGAUACUCAAUAAAUAUCCACAUCCAGAAGAAAAAAAAAAAUCCACGGGGCUGCUGAGAAAAGCAGGGCUCUUUCAACAGGCAGAAACAUGGUAAGUUAUGUUCCUCUUCCUGCCUCCAGCAGCUUGAAGGUCACGGUGCUGACAGCCCUUUAGAAACUCAACCCAAACAGUCCUUUCUUUCCAGACCGAUUCCUAGUCAGUUGCAGGAGAUUUCAAUGUCUUUUAUGACUACUAACCGAAGACACCAUCUUGAACGUAGCUUGCGAAGCCAGGAACGUGGUUUGGGUCCCAGCCCAGUGCAGUUUUUCCCAGAGCUAUUAUAAGGAAGUAGUCAUGAAACUAAAUGAAUCUAUGGUUGAAAACUGCAGUGCUGACCCAAAAUAUUUCUAAUGUGUGGAACUCGCUGGCAGGCUGAGAGCCUAAGAGAACAAAAAGCGCUGUUCGCUGCUUUGAAAUGCCCCGAUCCUCAGAGUGUGGCUUUGCCUUCAUGCUAUUAGCUGGGUUCCAAUGGGCCGAGGGCCAAGUUAGGCACUUCUAUUGGCGGGGCAGUGGGGGUG